rnacentral:rRNA from 1 species
GAUGAACGCUAGCGACAGGCCUAACACAUGCAAGUCGAGGGGUAGCAGAGUUUUAGCUUGCUAAAAUUGCUGACGACCGGCGCACGGGUGAGUAACACGUAUGCAACCUACCUUUUACAGGGGAAUAGCCCAGAGAAAUUUGGAUUAAUGCCCCAUAACAUUUUCAUUUCGCAUGAGAUAAAAAUUAAAGCUUUGGCGGUAAAAGAUGGGCAUGCGUUCUAUUAGCUAGUUGGUGAGGUAACGGCUCACCAAGGCAACGAUAGAUAGGGGUUCUGAGAGGAUAGUCCCCCACACUGGUACUGAGACACGGACCAGACUCCUACGGGUGGCAG